ACUACGGGUGGCAGCAGUGGGGGAUAUUGCACAAUGGGGGAAACCCUGAUGCAGCGACGCCGCGUGUGGGAAGACGGUCCUCUGGAUUGUAAACCACUGUCCCCAGGGACGAAGAUGACGGUACCUGGGGAGGAAGCUCCGGCUAACUACGUGCCAGCAGCCGCGGUAAUACGUAGGGAGCGAGCGUUGUCCGGAAUUACUGGGUGUAAAGGGAGCGUAGGCGGGACUGCAAGUUGGGUGUCAAAUCUACCGGCUCAACCGGUAGCCGCACUCAAAACUGCAGUUCUUGAGUGAAGUAGAGGCAGGCGGAAUUCCUAGUGUAGCGGUGAAAUGCGUAGAUAUUAGGAGGAACACCAGUGGCGAAGGCGGCCUGCUGGGCUUUUACUGACGCUGAGGCUCGAAAGUGUGGGGAGCAAACAGGAUUAGAUACCCCAGUAGUC
rnacentral:rRNA from 1 species